rnacentral:rRNA from 1 species
AGAGUUUGAUCCUGGCUCAGGACGAACGCUGGCGGCACGCUUAACACAUGCAAGUCGAACGAGAGAAGAGGAGCUUGCUUUUCUGAUCUAGUGGCGGACGGGUGAGUAACACGUGAGCAAUCUGCCUUUCAGAGGGGGAUACCGAUUGGAAACGAUCGUUAAUACCGCAUAACAUAAUUGAACCGCAUGAUUUGAUUAUCAAAGAUUUAUCGCUGAAAGAUGAGCUCGCGUCUGAUUAGCUAGUUGGUAAGGUAACGGCUUACCAAGGCGACGAUCAGUAGCCGGACUGAGAGGUUGAUCGGCCACAUUGGGACUGAGACACGGCCCAGACUCCUACGGGAGGCAGCAGUGGGGAAUAUUGCACAAUGGAGGAAACUCUGAUGCAGCGAUGCCGCGUGAGGGAAGAAGGUUUUAGGAUUGUAAACCUCUGUCUUCAGGGACGAAAAAAGACGGUACCUGAGGAGGAAGCUCCGGCUAACUACGUGCCAGCAGCCGCGGUAAUACGUAGGGAGCGAGCGUUGUCCGGAAUUACUGGGUGUAAAGGGAGCGUAGGCGGGAUCGCAAGUCAGAUGUGAAAACUAUGGGCUUAACCCAUAAACUGCAUUUGAAACUGUGGUUCUUGAGUGAAGUAGAGGUAAGCGGAAUUCCUAGUGUAGCGGUGAAAUGCGUAGAUAUUAAGAGGAACAUCAGUGGCGAAGGCGGCUUACUGGGCUUUAACUGACGCUGAGGCUCGAAAGCGUGUGGAGCAAACAGGAUUAGAUACCCUGGUAGUCCACGCCGUAAACGAUGAUUACUAGGUGUGGGGGGACUGACCCCUUCCGUGCCGCAGCAAACGCAAUAAGUAAUCCACCUGGGGAGUACGACCGCAAGGUUGAAACUCAAAGGAAUUGACGGGGGCCCGCACAAGCAGUGGAGUAUGUGGAUUAAUUCGAAGCAACGCGAAGAACCUUACCAGGUCUUGACAUCGUAUGCAUAGCUCAGAGAUGAGUGAAAUCUCUUCGGAGACAUAUAGACAGGUGGUGCAUGGUUGUCGUCAGCUCGUGUCGUGAGAUGUUGGGUUAAGUCCCGCAACGAGCGCAACCCUUACUGUUAGUUGCUACGCAAGAGCACUCUAGCAGGACUGCCGUUGACAAAACGGAGGAAGGUGGGGACGACGUCAAAUCAUCAUGCCCCUUAUGACCUGGGCCUCACACGUACUACAAUGGCUGUCAACAGAGGGAAGCAAAGCCGCGAGGUGGAGCGAACCCCUAAAAGCAGUCUUAGUUCGGAUUGUAGGCUGCAACCCGCCUACAUGAAGUCGGAAUUGCUAGUAACCGCAGAUCAGCAUGCUGCGGUGAAUACGUUCCCGGGCCUUGUACACACCGCCCGUCACGCCAUGGGAGUCGGUAACACCCGAAGCCUGUAGUCUAACCGCAAGGAGGACGCAGUCGAAGGUGGGAUUGAUGACUGGGGUGAAGUCGUAACAAGGUA